rnacentral:rRNA from 1 species
UAGGGAAUCUUCCGCAAUGUGCGAAAGCUUGACGGAGCAACGCCGCGUGAGUGAUGAAGGUCUUCGGAUCGUAAAACUCUGUUAUUAGGGAAGAACAAAUGUGUAAGUAACUAUGCACGUCUUGACGGUACCUAAUCAGAAAGCCACGGCUAACUACGUGCCAGCAGCCGCGGUAAUACGUAGGUGGCAAGCGUUAUCCGGAAUUAUUGGGCGUAAAGCGCGCGUAGGCGGUUUUUUAAGUCUGAUGUGAAAGCCCACGGCUCAACCGUGGAGGGUCAUUGGAAACUGGAAAACUUGAGUGCAGAAGAGGAAAGUGGAAUUCCAUGUGUAGCGGUGAAAUGCGCAGAGAUAUGGAGGAACACCAGUGGCGAAGGCGACUUUCUGGUCUGUAACUGACGCUGAUGUGCGAAAGCGUGGGGAUCAAACAGG